GAUGAACGCUGGCGGCGUGCCUAAUACAUGCAAGUCGAGCGAACAGACGGGGAGCUUGCUCCUCUGACGUUAGCGGCGGACGGGUGAGUAACACGUGGAUAACCUACCUAUAAGACUGGGAUAACUUCGGGAAACCGGAGCUAAUACCGGAUAAUAUAUUGAACCGCAUGGUUCAAUAGUGAAAGACGGUUUUGCUGUCACUUAUAGAUGGAUCCGCGCCGCAUUGGCUAGUUGGUAAGGUAACGGCUUACCAAGGCAACGAUGCGUAGCCGACCUGAGAGGGUGAUCGGCCACACUGGAACUGAGACACGGUCCAGACUCCUACGGGAGGCAGCAGUAGGGAAUCUUCCGCAAUGGGCGAAAGCCUGACGGAGCAACGCCGCGUGAGUGAUGAAGGUCUUCGGAUCGUAAAACUCUGUUAUUAGGGAAGAACAAAUGUGUAAGUAACUAUGCACGUCUUGACGGUACCUAAUCAGAAAGCCACGGCUAACUACGUG
rnacentral:rRNA from 1 species